GGUUACAGUGCGGUGUGGCAGUGGCCGUUACUCGCUAUAGCCCAGCACCAGCAUGUGAAACUUGUUGCUGAUCAACAAUUUUGUUUAGACAUGGGGGUGUCUUCGAUAAGCAUGCGCAUGUGUCAUGACCCCCUGAAACCUGCUCGCAGCCCCCCUCAAGGGACCACAGACCCCUGGUGGAGAACCACAGCCUUAGAGGUUGUGAGGUGAUCAGAUAUUACAAUAGUGGGACCAGAAGAGACCAACAAUCAUGGUUUGUGCAAACGCUACUCCUUGCUGUGACGCCUUGCACGGCUACUCCUUUCUGAACGAGCUAAUGAACAGUCAAGGUUCAUAUGCCAUGCAAUGUACCAUGUGACAGGCAGCAAACCAGGGUGCCAUGGAGAUUUAAGGGACUGAACUGAUGAACACUUUAUACCUAGAUGCUGCAAACAAUGACGGUAUCAGUUUCUCCAAAAAGGUUAUAAGAAUCUUUUAAUAAAGUUAAGUGUUAGUCAAUCUAAAUUGAGGGGUUGUGACUAGUUCCCUCUAUAAUGGAAAAAAAGAACUAACAUGGGGCAGUUGAACGAAAAGUUCUUCCUGAUGCUUCACUACUACUGCAUUGAGACCGUUUCCUCAGUAGGAAGAAAUUAUCUACCUCUAAUUCUGCUUCUCUAUAGACUUCCUCACACAGGAUUCUCACUCCUGGGUCAGUGUCCCCGGGCAUGAAGCCAGCAGAACUCCCUCCACCACAACCCCCAAUGGGUGUCCUAUGCCACAACACUCACUCUAGUAUUGCUGCCCAUGCAUUCCAAGCCAGUUCCUUCCUUAUCUAGUCUGGGGAAGGUGUUCCCUACACAUCAGCCCAAAGUAGAUCUUUUGAUAUUUCUAACCUUCCUGGCCAAUCUAACUAAAAAAAAUAUUUUUUUGCAUGUGUCUUGGAUCUGGUGUCUUGACACUACUGUCCCAAUACACCAUCCACUGGUGCUUUGGUCACUUGAUUCAAACAGUAUCUCAGCCCUCUCCCAAAAUGUUCAGACAUCACGGCACCCUUUGGUGCUUGCUUUCCAGAACUGGCAGCACUUUGGGGCUCUGGUGCAGCCAUUUGCUCUCCAAUCAUUCGGUGCACUUUACUGCAGCCCUGAUGCAAACUUCUCCUUGUUAUUUUUGGUGCAUUAGAACAGCUCCACUGUAUCGACGCAGCCAAAUACACUCUUAGCUACGCCACCUCAAAGCACUUAACUCAGCACAUCCUACUCAGUGUCCUAUGAUGUCUGGUGCCUCCAUGCAUCUUAGCAUACUUAGGAGUUUCUGAGCUUUCCUUUCUAGAGAUGGUUUUGAAGAAGGACAAAGCAGGCUUGUGGACUUGUGGUAGAAAGAUGUCCUGUACAAAUGGUCAUAUCCAACAUCAGUGCUGCCUGAGUGUCCCGUGAUGUAUGUGGGUUUGAAAUCUGCCUACAGAUGUCUCCUUGAACACUUGGGAAAUGAAAGACAUACCUGCAGUCCUACAACUGACACGAGGUUGGCCUGGAGUGACUCAAAAGUGAAAUCCUUAGAAUGCAGGCCUGAGCUGGGUAAGACUGGGUCUGCCGGCAGCACUCAGCACAGGUGUUGACUGAGGCAGUGGUGCCAGCUUUAUGCUGGGAAGCUGAGAUGCGAAUUCAGGAGAGAGAAUCCUGUGUGUGGUGUGUUAGUGGAGAAUAUUUCGCUCUCGCUGUAGGUGUUAUAGUGCUCUAACAAACGAGGAUGGGCAAAGAGCAUCAUCCCUAUUUCACAGACAGGCUAACAGGCACAGAAAGGUUAAGGGACAUAUCCAAGGUCACACAGCAAACCGGGGCAGAGUUGGAAACACCUAGAUCUCUUGAAUCUCAGCAUGAUCCACCAGAGCCCAGCUGCCUUCUCACAAGCUCCUCUUAUACGAGUCAUUCAAAUAUCCCAUUCUGGACACAGAUUUGCUCUCUUUUCUAUGUAUCUAAAGGUUCUCCUGCCACUCACAGCUUUGAACACUUUA